rnacentral:rRNA from 1 species
CCCUGCCAUUUGUACACACCGCCCGUCGCUACUACCGAUCGAGUGGCUUGGUGAGGAGGUCGGAUCGGCCGUCACAUCCCGGCAACGGGGGAGGCGGCUGAGAAGUCCUUCAAACUUGGUCUCUUAGA